UCGCAGCCAAGGCCGAAAUGGUAUCUCCAAGCUAACGGCAAAGAACGUUAAUUAGGCGAUAGAAACAUUCGACCAUUAUGCAAAUCGUGACCUUAUUACUACCGCAACUCCUAACAGCGUAGCGUGAUGCUAAACUGACAGUUGACGAGGAUUUCGCUGCGAAAAGGAUAUUUAGCCACGUCCGGUCCGUUUUAAAUGUAUAUAAACCGAACUGAUGCACUGUAAGACAGUAGUUCAGUAUUUUCUGUAGACAAACAUGAAGUGUGCGGUAGCAAUCGUUUUGGGAUUCGUCGGCAUGGUGUUGACCAACCCUGUCCCGCCUCUGGGACUGGGGCUCGCAUACCCAGCGUCCAUAAGCUCAACCUAUGUCAACCACGGCCUGACGUACCCCCGCGUUGUUGUCUCCGCUCCAGUCUACACCGCCCCCUUGAUCAAGACCCCGGUGAUCACCGCUCCCAUCAUCACCGCUCCAAUCAUCAAAACUCCGAUUGUAACCGCCCCUCUGCACUGGGGUUCUUGGGGCUACGGCUGGGGAAAACAUUGAAUUGAAUAACAAUUUAUCUCGAUCGUAAUGUUCUACAUAUAAAACCUUUUGUGGUCGUAAAUGUUUUUCAAUAAAUCUUCAUACGUUUA